rnacentral:rRNA from 1 species
UACGUAGGGUGCGAGCGUUGUCCGGAAUUAUUGGGCGUAAAGAGCUCGUAGGCGGUCUGUCGCGUCGGUCGUGAAAACCUGCAGCUUAACUGUGGGCGUGCGGUCGAUACGGGCAUGACUGGAGUUCGGCAGGGGAGACUGGAAUUCCUGGUGUAGCGGUGAAAUGCGCAGAUAUCAGGAGGAACACCGGUGGCGAAGGCGGGUCUCUGGGCCCAUACUGACGCUGAGGAGCGAAAGCGUGGGGAGCGAACAGG